rnacentral:rRNA from 1 species
UCCCUACGGGGGGCAGCAGUGGGGAAUAUUGCACAAUGGGGGAAACCCUGAUGCAGCGACGCCGCGUGAGUGAAGAAGUAAUUCGUUAUGUAAAGCUCUAUCAGCAGGGAAAAAAAUGACGGUACCUGAGUAAGAAGCCCCGGCUAACUACGUGCCAGCAGCCGCGGUAAUACGUAGGGGGCAAGCGUUAUCCGGAUUUACUGGGUGUAAAGGGAGCGUAGACGGCGAUGCAAGUCUGAAGUGAAAGCCCGGGGCUCAACCCCGGGACUGCUUGGGAAACUGUAUGGCUGGAGUGCUGG